UACGAGAACCCCGAGCGUUAUCCGGAUUUAUUGGGCGUAAAGCGUGUGUAGGGGGCUGUAUUAGCCCCGCCUUAAAUAUCUAUGCUUAACAUAGAAAGCUGGCGGGGAACGGUACGACUUGAGAGUGUGAGAGGUACACGGAACUCACGGUGUAGGGGUGGAAUCCGUUGAUAUCGUGGGGAACACCAAAAGCGAAGGCAGUGUACUAGCACAUUUCUGACCCUGAGACACGAAAGCGUGGGUAUCGAAUGGG
rnacentral:misc_RNA from 1 species